rnacentral:rRNA from 1 species
UGAGCUACCAUGCAGCCGAGCGGUAGAGUAUCUUCGGAUACUUGAGAGCGGCGUACGGGUGCGGAACACGUGUGCAACCUGCCUUUAUCUGAGGGAUAGCCUUUCGAAAGGAAGAUUAAUACCUCAUAAUAUACUGAUUGGCAUCAAUUAGUAUUGAAAGCUCCGGCGGAUAGAGAUGGGCACGCGCAAGAUUAGAUAGUUGGUGAGGUAACGGCUCACCAAGUCAAUGAUCUUUAGGGGGCCUGAGAGGGUGAUCCCCCACACUGGUACUGAGACACGGACCAGACUCCUACGGGAGGCAGCAGUGAGGAAUAUUGGACAAUGGGUGCAAGCCUGAUCCAGCCAUCCCGCGUGAAGGACGACGGCCCUAUGGGUUGUAAACUUCUUUUGUGCAGGGAUAAACCUACUCUCGUGAGGGUAGCUGAAGGUACUGUACGAAUAAGCACCGGCUAACUCCGUGCCAGCAGCCGCGGUAAUACGGAGGGUGCAAGCGUUAUCCGGAUUUAUUGGGUUUAAAGGGUCCGCAGGCGGGCUAGUAAGUCAGUGGUGAAAGCCUACAGCUUAACUGUAGAACUGCCGUUGAUACUGCUAGUCUUGAGUAUAGUUGAGGUAGCUGGAAUGAGUAGUGUAGCGGUGAAAUGCAUAGAUAUUACUCAGAACACCGAUUGCGAAGGCAGGUUACCAAGUUAUAACUGACGCUGAGGGACGAAACUGGG